UACAUGCAAGUCGAGCGGACAGAUGGGAGCUUGCUCCCUGAUGUUAGCGGCGGACGGGUGAGUAACACGUGGGUAACCUGCCUGUAAGACUGGGAUAACUCCGGGAAACCGGGGCUAAUACCGGAUGGUUGUUUGAACCGCAUGGUUCAGACAUAAAAGGUGGCUUCGGCUACCACUUACAGAUGGACCCGCGGCGCAUUAGCUAGUUGGUGAGGUAACGGCUCACCAAGGCAACGAUGCGUAGCCGACCUGAGAGGGUGAUCGGCCACACUGGGACUGAGACACGGCCCAGACUCCUACGGGAGGCAGCAGUAGGGAAUCUUCCGCAAUGGACGAAAGUCUGACGGAGCAACGCCGCGUGAGUGAUGAAGGUUUUCGGAUCGUAAAGCUCUGUUGUUAGGGAAGAACAAGUGCCGUUCAAAUAGGGCGGCACCUUGACGGUACCUAACCAGAAAGCCACGGCUAACUACGUGCCAGCAGCCGCGGUAAUACGUAGGUGGCAAGCGUUGUCCGGAAUUAUUGGGCGUAAAGGGCUCGCAGGCGGUUUCUUAAGUCUGAUGUGAAAGCCCCCGGCUCAACCGGGGAGGGUCAUUGGAAACUGGGGAACUUGAGUGCAGAAGAGGAGAGUGGAAUUCCACGUGUAGCGGUGAAAUGCGUAGAGAUGUGGAGGAACACCAGUGGCGAAGGCGACUCUCUGGUCUGUAACUGACGCUGAGGAGCGAAAGCGUGGGGAGCGAACAGGAUAAAAAAACCCCUGGU
rnacentral:rRNA from 1 species